UGUAUUUCCUCACGUCGAUUUCCUUUCGGAAAAUCUGCUACACGUAAAAAUCCGAGCAAGUCUUAUGGUUUACUAUAAGCUUCUUCGCACCACUGAGAAUCUAAAAUUGACUGCAUAUUCCAAUCAUGUUUAGUGUAACAAGUCCCGAAACCUAGUUUAUAGCACUCACAUGUAACGACGCCUUGAUUGAGGAUUCAGGAUUUGUAUCAUAUUUUUUAAGAUAUUCUAGAGUAACAAUUAUACAAAUCUAAAGUUCUUUGAAAGUAAUAAGUGAAUCUUGUUGAUCGAC